UGCCGUGACCAGGAUUCGAAACUGGGUUAUUGUGGCCACAAUGCAAUGUCCUAACCACUAGACAAUCAUACC